GAGCAAAACAAAAAGGGAAUUAAAGUAAAAAUAAUAAAAAAUUGGCCCUGGCAACGCCAGCCGCGGGACAGCUAUAGUUAAGUACGAAAUAAUUUUAGAUACAAAAUAAUCACAGGACACUCACACUGAUUAGAUCGUGGUAAACAUACAUUUAUUUCAAAGUUAAAAGCACCAAACGUGGUCCUUAUCAACGGUACUUUUUUAGGUGUACGAUUGCGUGCACUACAACAGUUUUACUUCCAUUUUUACGUUGCCAAAUAUCCAUACACGUUAAGCGUGCACCUAACCGUCCGUAUAUUAUUUACGUUUGAAUCUCCAUCAUGAUAUUUAUUUUAACUAAUAGUAAUGUUCUGUCAUGGUGUUACGAUUAUA